rnacentral:rRNA from 1 species
GGAAAGGCCCUUCGGGGUACUCGAGCGGCGAACGGGUGAGUAACACGUGAGUAACCUGCCCCUGACUCUGGGAUAAGCCCGGGAAACUGGGUCUAAUACCGGAUAUGACCGCCCCAGGCAUCUGGUGGUGGUGGAAAGUUUUUUCGGUUGGGGAUGGACUCGCGGCCUAUCAGCUUGUUGGUGGGGUAAUGGCCUACCAAGGCGACGACGGGUAGCCGGCCUGAGAGGGCGACCGGCCACACUGGGACUGAGACACGGCCCAGACUCCUACGGGAGGCAGCAGUGGGGAAUAUUGCGCAAUGGGCGAAAGCCUGACGCAGCGACGCCGCGUGGGGGAUGACGGCCUUCGGGUUGUAAACCUCUUUCAGCAGGGACGAAGUUGACGUGUACCUGCAGAAGAAGCGCCGGCUAACUACGUGCCAGCAGCCGCGGUAAUACGUAGGGCGCAAGCGUUGUCCGGAAUUAUUGGGCGUAAAGAGCUCGUAGGUGGCUGGUCGCGUCUGCCGUGAAAGCCCGCAGCUUAACUGCGGGUCUGCGGUGGAUACGGGCCGGCUAGAGGUAGGUAGGGGCAAGUGGAAUUCCUGGUGUAGCGGUGAAAUGCGCAGAUAUCAGGAGGAACACCGGUGGCGAAGGCGGCUUGCUGGGCCUUACCUGACGCUGAGGAGCGAAAGCGUGGGGAGCGAACAGGAUUAGAUACCCUGGUAGUCCACGCUGUAAAC